AUAACAAGAAUAAAAAUGCAGUACACCUAAUAAGAACAAGACGUAUCGGCUCUGACAUAACAAGAACAAAGGCACAGAGACGCAGCUAACAGAUUUUUUUGGAGUGGAUCAGCUUCACAGAGAUGCCUUCGGGCUCUCGCAACCGGGCAGAGAACAAUAAAACUACCUUCAGGUAGCUCCCGAACUGGUUGGAUCGCAAGGUCGAAGUGAGUCAGCGCUCAAAAAAAUACGUUUGCUCUUGAUCCCGGAUGGGGAUCGAACAAAAACGCAGUAAAGGGCCCGGUCGCCAAAAACAACAACAGACCACCCUAGAACAAUAAAAAAAGAGCACGUAAAACCAUUUAAAGGGGAGCUUAGGCUCCCCUUUAUGCUGUCUGGGGUUUGGGGCACCCGCCUGCC
rnacentral:sRNA from 1 species